CACGUAGGGGCCAAGCGUUGUCCGGAUUUAUUGGGCGUAAAGAGCUCGUAGGCGGUUCAGUCAGUCGGGUGUGAGAACUCCGGGCUUAACUCGGAGAGGCCACCCGAUACUGCUGUGACUUGAGUCCGGUAGGGGAGUGGGGAAUUCCUGGUGUAGCGGUGAAAUGCGCAGAUAUCAGGAGGAACACCGGUGGCGAAGGCGCCACUCUGGGCCGGAACUGACGCUGAGACGCGAAAGCGUGGGGAGCAAACAGG
rnacentral:rRNA from 1 species